UCGUACAUGUAUUAUAAACAUUUAUUAAAUUAAUAAUCGAGAUUGUAUAAUAACUGCUAUGUUUCACGUAUCCAUCAUGUUCUGGCUUAUUGAGAUAGAGAUAUAUGUUUAUAACAAAUUAGUCAUAUCAUCAGACUAUAAGCGUGUUUGAACUUCGAUUCUAUGUGCAAAGUCCGAUACUUCAGGUGUUACUUGCUGAUCGAGCGCGGCUUUCAUCUGUGGAAUUCUUCUUUUCAAAUUGAACAGCACGUUUGAAAACACGAUUAACGGAAAAACCACAGACAGGCAUUCAUCUGACCGAUAAAUUGCUAUGACACCCAAGGGAUCUCUGAACAUAGCGGUCAGUGCCAGCACCGACAUUGCUGGCCAUAAAUUGUGUUUAAUUCCUACUCGUCACUUUGAAAUCCCCGACAAUGAGACAAAGAGAUAAAACGCGACGGCAAAUUUAUGAAGACUCCUUUUGCAUUGUUUUGUCAGCUUUAUUUCUGGCGGAAUUGAUAUCGGUCCCCCAUGAUCAAGAGCAUCAACUGUAAUGUCGAUUCAUCUUUUUAUCAAUAUACAAUUGCGCCAUAUCCAGAAUAGUACAAAAUGACGAACUUUGCUGGAAUAUUCGGGGUAUACGCUCGGACUUUCUUUGGUUCAACUUUAGGAAACCCUAGCUGCACAAAUGUGGUACUAGUAUAUCUUAAUGCCUCAAAAUGCGGUCAGCCGAUUCGCAUGGGAUAAUCUUUAUAACAAGAUCAUGGCAUGUUUGUACACAUAAAUGAAACUGAAGACUAAAGUCCAAAACCUAAUACACUGAGAAAGCGGACAGAAAAUGAUACUCAAGUUCAUGAUAAGCAUAACUACUUCAAUUAAUAAUAAAACAUAUAUGUCUAUCAUUCUAGAAUGAUUUCUUUAUUAAAAUAGUUUCAUUGAAUUGUUUUAGUUUUCCAGUGGAUAUUUUUUAAUCAGGUCUCAUUUGUUUGCAACUUUAUCUUCAUUUACUAAAUAAUAUUUUGAUCUUGAUUGUGAAUUGUUACAUAACA